rnacentral:lncRNA from 1 species
UCUCUCCCAUAGUGAUGAGCUCUGUGAUGCAUUGCUCUCUCUGCAGCGCAUUGCUUUCUCCUACAGAAAAAGAGGCACAAUGCAUGGAUCUGUCCCACACAGUUGUAAGGUUUUAGUGCACAAGAGGCAUUUGAGUUAUUUACAUCAUCCCAAUCCGUCCUUAACACAAUUUGGACUUCCAAAAGGGUAUUAUUUACCCCUUUCACUCCAAUUUUCUCU